UUUAUUCAUUAUAAUUCUCUUGGUGCUACAGAAAAUUACACUUCUAUGUUUUAGCAAACUGUAACUAUUCAGUUUUAUAUUCUAUUAUAAUAAACUUUUGAUAUGUAUUUAUUACUAAUGCCAUUUAUGUGUAGGUGUCAUUUUUUGAAUAUGCAUAAGUCAUACUUUCCCAAUUGGCAUCCAGGCUUAGCAUCUAUUUCCUAGAGAGUUUAAUGAGAUUCGGUUAAAUGACCCAACACAAGUUAAAUCCACAAAAGUGUGGAGAAACAAUCUCUGGGUGGAUUCAAAUGUUGCGACGCCUCUUCGGUGCGCUUGAUCUCUACAAAAUCUACUAGUUUUAAAGGUUUGAUGGCUAUGGAAGUCAUUUAUCUUAUGGAUCGGGAUUAUCUUGUCUUGUUUGCUGGAUUUGUUUAUCUCUUUGGAGGGUUUCUUCCCUCCAAUUGCCAUAUUGUGAUUGGUCCAGGUGGUAUGUUGACAGAUUGGUGGAAUGACUAGUUUGCGUGAUAUUUUGUGGGUGUUUCAUGUUAUGUUUGAAGAGGAUAAAACAGUGCAGUUUUCUGUUAUCUGUUUUCUGUUAUGUUUUGUGGGAUUUUUUUUAAUUGUUUGGCAAGGCACUUGUGGAAAUUGUGCUUUAUGAUGGAUUUUUUUUUGGCGAUUGGGUGUGUUG